UGGCGGACGGGUGAGUAAUGCGUAGGAAGCUACCCGAUAGAGGGGGAUACCAGUUGGAAGCGACUGUUAAUACCGCAUAAUGUCUACGGACCAAAGUGUGGGACCUUCGGGCCACAUGCUAUCGGAUGCGCCUGCGUGGGAUUAGCUAGUUGGUGAGGUAAUGGCUCACCAAGGCGACGAUCCCUAGCUGGUUUGAGAGGAUGAUCAGCCACACUGGAACUGAGACACGGUCCAGACUCCUACGGGAGGCAGCAGUGGGGAAUAUUGGACAAUGGGCGCAAGCCUGAUCCAGCCAUGCCGCGUGUGUGAAGAAGGCCUUCGGGUUGUAAAGCACUUUCAGUUGGGAGGAAGGGUUGUGUGUUAAUAGUACACAGCCUUGACGUUACCAACAGAAGAAGCACCGGCUAACUCUGUGCCAGCAGCCGCGGUAAUACAGAGGGUGCAAGCGUUAAUCGGAAUUACUGGGCGUAAAGCGCACGUAGGCGGUUUUUUAAGUCAGAUGUGAAAGCCCCGGGCUCAACCUGGGAAUUGCAUUUGAAACUGGAAAACUAGAGUGUGUGAGAGGGGGGUAGAAUUCCAAGUGUAGCGGUGANANANUGCGUAGAGAUUUGGAGGAAUNACCAGUGGCGAAGGCGGCCCCCUGGCACAACACUGACGCUCAGGUGCGAAAGCGUGGGGAGCAAACGGGAUUAGAUACCCUGGUAGUCCACGCCGUAAACGAUGUCUACUAGCUGUUCGUGACCUUGUGUCGUGAGUAGCGCAGCUAACGCACUAAGUAGACCGCCUGGGGAGUACGNGUCGCAAGAUUANAANACUCAAAUGAANUUGACGGGGGCCCGCACAAGCGGUGGAGCAUGUGGUUUAAUUCGACGCAACGCGAAGAACCUUACCUACUCUUGACAUCCAGAGAAGACUGCAGAGAUGCGGUUGUGCCUUCGGGAACUCUGAGACAGGUGCUGCAUGGCUGUCGUCAGCUCGUGUUGUGAAAUGUUGGGUUAAGUCCCGCAACGAGCGCAACCCUUAUCCUUAGUUGCCAGCACGUAAUGGUGGGAACUCUAGGGAGACUGCCGGUGAUAAACCGGAGGAAGGUGGGGUAAGAGGGGGGAGUCAUCAUGCCCCCUUACGAG
rnacentral:rRNA from 1 species